UUGACCUCGGAUCAAGUANGGAUACCCGCUGAACUUAA
rnacentral:rRNA from 4 species